rnacentral:tRNA from 1 species
GUCCCUGUAGCGCAAUGGGUAGCACUUAGGACUUCUAAUCCAAAGGUCGUGGGCUCGAAUCCCACCUGGGAUG